rnacentral:rRNA from 1 species
UUAUGGCUCAGGAUGAACGCUGGCGGCGUGCCUAAUACAUGCAAGUCGUACGAGGGAAGUCCAGCUUGCUGGACGGAACGAGUGGCGAACGGGUGAGUAAUACGUAAGCAACCUGCCUGCAAGGACUGGGAUAACACCUGGAAACGGGCGCUAAUACCGGAUAGGUAACGGAGGGGCAUCCUUCUGUUAUUAAAGGUUAAAAACACAAGCAGAUGGGCUUACGGUGCAUUAGCUGGUUGGUGAGGUAACGGCCCACCAAGGCGAUGAUGCAUAGCCGGCCUGAGAGGGUGAACGGCCACAUUGGGACUGAGACACGGCCCAGACUCCUACGGGAGGCAGCAGUAGGGAAUUUUCGGCAAUGGACGCAAGUCUGACCGAGCAACGCCGCGUGAGUGAAGGAGGUUUUCGGAUUGUAAAGCUCUGUUGUAAGGGAAGAACAGCACGGAGAGAAUCCGUGAAUGACGGUACCUUACCAGAAAGCCACGGCUAACUACGUGCCAGCCGCUGC